rnacentral:tRNA from 1 species
AAGCUAUUAAUUUCAAAUUGAAU